UACCACUUUAUCUCUUUCUUUGUCCAAGCCAAUCUCUUCCCUCCCUUCCUUUUACAGUGCCAUCUUUUCUUCUUACUCAAUAUUAUCAAACCAAACCACAAAUCUAAUUAAGCGGUCUUGAUGCCAAAAUCUCUGCUCCUGGAGAAAUGCAUCAUGCAGCACAUCUAGGUGGAAAGUUUUUUUUGUGUGUGUGGAAGACCAACUCAGAGCAGUCCUGUGACAAAUCAUACACUGCUUUCUCCAUCCUCACAGUUCUGUAAGGAAGGCGGAAAACCAGGCCAGGAGAAAGAAAAGAAAGAAAAUGAUCUCUUAUUGAAUAGUUCCAAUAAACCAAGCACUGGACUAGAUGUUUUUUAAGUAAAUGUUCCAUUUAAUUUUCCAAAGAACGUUAUAAAUUUGGUAAGAUUCUUCCUGUUUAAAAAAUUAAGAAAGAGGAUCAAAGAAGAGAAGUUUCUGCCAACGAGGCAUAGUAGUGGCUCAGAAAAAAAUAACUUUGAAAUAUUUUGCUUUUCACAUUUCUAAAUCUGGCUUUUUAGAAUUUCUAGGCCAAGAUGUAUUGUAUUGAAACUAGUAAGAAUGACAGCUGUCACCCCACUUAGUGCCUGUCAUCUACCCAUCUACCUACUUACCUUCUACCUAUGUCUUCUUUACUCAUUGUCAUACUCUGUGCUAUAAGUGUAGAGUGAACCCACUGGCACUUGUUUACCAUAACAAGUGCCAUUUCUGAAGCUUGGUAUCCAGCAAGAUACUAAUAGAUGUCCUCUAAAAAGUCAGUUCUGUGAUAAAAAAAAAAUAUGUGAGAAGUACUAGAUUAAACAAAUUUAAACUGGUUGCUUUGUUGCAU
rnacentral:lncRNA from 1 species